rnacentral:misc_RNA from 2 species
AAAAAACGAGUUGCGAGACUCGAAAACCACCGCGAACAUUACCUCGUCGUCGUUGCUUCGGCGGGUGGCCCCGCGAGGGGCCGCGAGGCCCGCGAGGGCGCCCGCCGGAGGAGCGUGAACACUCUGUCUUCUUGGCGCCUCUGAGUGGAUACAGCGGAAUAAAUCA